AUUAGCUGUUGCUAAAUUGUUAACAAUCUAGCAAUUUGUUAGCUAGCAAGUUCUGUCUUUUGAUUUUCUACAUCGUUGUGUAUGAAUAAAAAACAGCUGGUAACGUCAAGGCUUUAAUCCUAGAUCUAAUGUUAUUGUCCCAUUUUAUCUGGAGUAUUAUUCAUCAAGGAAAGAGUGCUGAGGUUUCCUAAACUCUUCACACGUUUCUGUAUAACGGUUUUGUUACAUGACUGUAAGUCUAAACGUUUCCAGUUAGUUUCAUGGUGAAUUUAGCAUCACAUCUAAUCUCCAGGAUGCAUUCCGCACAUUUUACAUCGGUAACAGGCAGAUUUGCAACUCCUACUGCUGAGCAAGCUGAAGAUAUUUGACAGCUCUUAUCCAAGCACUGUGGCGAUGCACUACUUCACAUGAUGGCAGAUGCUGGAGCUACAUGGUAUAGGAAAGUGCAUGCCCUGCAACAGCUGUUAUUCAACUUAUUGUCCCCAAUCUAACUGACAUUUAAAGAAGAGAUUCAGGCUAUUUUUCCUGGUGUUUGUGUGUGUGCACAGAUUCCAGUAGAUCAGGGAGUCACCAGUCCUCCAACUCUGCCAGGCCAUGUCAAUUCAAUGCCAUGUCAGCCUAAUCUGCUGAGGCAGCCAGGACAAUCAAGUUCGAUCAACUGAUGCUGACGACCAAGAGCUAACAUCCUUAUUUACAUUUGUGUGGCUCAAGACAGCACAGGUGUGUUAAAGGCCCCCAGAACAGUUCCACCUCUAGUAUUUAUGCUCUUGCAUUCCACUUUCACUCAGGCUAAACACAAAACUGCCGAUUCAAACCCUCUGGAGUUGCAUUUGGCACACAAAAUGACAGUCCGCAAGAUUUAACGCAUAACGCAUUAAACAAGCUACAUAAUGCUUGAGAUGGGGCGGCAGGGUAGCCUAGUGGUUAGAGCGUUGGACUAGUAACCGGAAUCCCCGAGCUGACAAGGUACAAAUCUGUCGUUCAGUUAACCCACUGAUCUUAGGCCGUCAUUGAAAAUAAGAAUUUGUUCUUAACUGACUUGCCUAGUUAAAUAAAGGUCAAAUAAAAAAGAUAAGUAUGGCACAAUAUAGUCUGAUUAAUCAGUCUGUAAUACACAAUUAAUUGGUAUAUACCAUCUGCAAUUAAUGCCUGUAAAUCGUGUAAAUGUAUUGUACAACCCAGAAUGUUGAAGGCCUACUCUACCGGUUGUCUGUGUGGUUUGUCCUUCAGCUGCUCAAUUUGAGGCAAAAUAUCCACAGGAAAGUAUUGUUUACCUGACUUAGAGAGCCGGUAGCAUUUGGUUUGGUUUGUCACGAGGUGAAGUUAGUUUUAUGUUUUCCGUUUUCUCUCGUAAAUAGCUGUUGAACUAAGCAUGCCAUGACAAUAAAACAUUUAUAUUCUCAAUCAGGGGAGGAUGGAGAAGAAUCCAUACCUUUUGUUGUUUUGAAUUGUAGAUAUGUAUUUUUAAGAUGAACAAUAUUUUCUCAUUUCGAGCAGCUGAAGGACAGACAACUGGUAGAGUAAGUUUAUUAUUAUUAUUUUUUCUACAUUCUGACUUGUAAGAAACAAUUACAAAAUUGAUCAGGCAGUAGUUGCAGGUUGUAUAUACCAAUUAAUUGUGUAUUAGAGCCUGACCAACCAUAGCCUAGGCACCCUGGCCUAUUUGCCAGUAGUGGAACCACCCUUGAGAGAACAGCCCUUUAAAGAAGUGCAAUCUUUGGGAAUAUCUUGGCAUCGGAUCUCUAAUUCCAUAGGUUUUUUUCCAUGGCGGGAGAUAUAGAACCUCCAUGUAACAGUACCCUUGAAAAGGAGAGGCCUGCCCUGCGUUGCCCCGCCUUGAGUAAUGGAGGAAAGGUGACUAGGAAAGAAAGCAAUUGAAGAGUUUUGAAAAACAGCAAAGAUAACAUCUCAGACUGGGACGUUUUGCUCUGCUCUCGUUAAAGUAUAAAAAAGUCACCUAGAAAUAAUCUGUGGAAAUGCCACAAAUACGUGGAUUGGAACAUAGAUUUGAAUCUGAAUGUCCAUUCUACAAUUUAUAAUUCUAUGGGGAGAAACAAUGUUCAAAGGAUCUAGCUCUAAUUCUAUAAAAUAUCUGCAAGGCUAAGCUACUCUGUACUUUUUGUCCCACUGGCAUCAUUUGAUUGGCAAUUUAGCACUGAGAAACAUCCAAGUUGCCAUCUCCAAUUAGGACUAAUCCUGGCAUGUUGUUUUGUGUAACCGUAUCCUGAGAGUGCUCACAGAGUAUCCCAUUAAUGUUCCUUCAGCGCUGUGCCGCUGGCUCAGGGUCCACAGACAGGACCGCUGGAAUACUCAACAUCUCUUCACUGUAUUUGACUAACAGUAAAUCAGGAGUGUGUGUGUGAUGCGGAAAGCAGACGUGUGUGUGUGUGUGUGAGAGGAUCUGUUUGUGUGCAAGCUACAAGCGUGCAUGUGAAUGUGUGUGAUAGACGAGGGCCCUUAGCCUGUUCCUGUGAUUGUGCCGGAGCAGAACACUGUGUUCAGCAGUCAGCUACUCUGAGGAAAUCUCUCAUUCUUCACCAAACAGGAAAUGGCCCCCCAGAGAAGUGCUGUUUCUAAGAAGAGAGAAUGGGUGAAAAAACACUGGCGUGACCAACGCAAGGGCAGUAACUGUGUCAAAGACCAUGUGGAUCCUUACCUGCUCUCGUUUCUUGAUUUGAGCUCCCAAGUUCUUGAACGCCUCAGACAGAUAGAAGCUGGUGAGGUACCUCUGUGGUGAUAGUGGGAUUAGAUCUGUACAUUAGUGAUGAUAAGAUGGGGCCUUUUCAAGCGGAGUGGUGAGAUGAUUGAGUAAGGAGUCUAGCCACAGCUUGUCACAGACAGGUUGCACAUCUCAGCAGAGUUGUUUAAAACCACAAGACAUUCUUCAGUUCCUUAGUUUCCCAAAGGGUUGGGUGUCAGUGAAGUAUGCGUUUGUCUGUUCUUGUAAUAAUUUGCUUUGUGGAACUCUGUGGUAGAUCCAUUUGACACUGAAAUUGACAGAUCAGAAGUGGGCUCAGCUCAUCUUUGCACAACAUCUUGUAAAACCAGACAGGAACAGUAGGCUACUUCACACCAAUAGGCAUUAUAGCUACUCAGUUGUGCACAAGUCCUAUCCUUUCAUCUCUAUUCGAUAUCCAUUAUCUUGUGAGCCCUGAGCGGCCAACUGUUGCUAACAUAACAAACUCAACCUCCUCUCCAAGCUGAUUGAGUGUUGAGAAGGCCAGCAACACCCCCUAUAAAGUAUUAAUUUACCCUCUCGAUAGCACGUUGCCAUGGAGACCAUUCUCUGGCUGGUGGCAGGGUGUAGCCUAACUUAUGUUGUUCAGUGAUCCAAGUAACCCUGUUCUGUUGUAGCCAGCUAGCUAGGUCACAAAGCUACCUCGUGGUUAGUCAGUGACACAGUUCUACAGAGCCUAGUGUUGUCAGUCAGCUCCAUUCACUCUGCUAGCCCAGGUCAGCUGACAGAGGCUAAACAAUUGUUGUUUUGUUGCUCCUGGGCUGGGACAUCAUAGUAGGUCUAUUUUUAGUGAUGCAGUUUAGUUUGAGUAUGGUUGAGUGAGUGAAUGUGGCAUUUGUUAUUGAAAAUGGGCAACUCAUCUUUGUUUAUACACCAAAUAACUGUCCUGUGGUUUAGUAAUAUGUUUUAAAGUGUGUUUCUCUCUGUAGUCCUAUAGAUGUGGUGAGUAAUGUCUCAUAUGUCCCCCCAGGCCCUGGCUGCCUGCUGCCGCUGGAACCAGCUGGAGUUUGCCAAAAGGCACCUGAAGAGACUAUGAGAAACCAAGAUUGAACUCUUUGGCCUGAAUGCCAAGCCUCACGUCUGGAGGAAACCUGGCACCAUCCCUACAGUGAAGCAUAGUAGUGGCAGCAUCAUGCUGUGGGGAUGUUUUAUCAGCGGCAGCGACUGGGAGACCAGACGGGAUCGAAGGAAAGAUGAACAGAGCAAAGUACAGAGAUCCUUGCUGACAACCUCCUCCAGAGUGUUCAGGACCUCAGACUGGGGUGACGGUUCACCUUCCAACAGGACAACAACCGUAAGCACACAGCCAAGACAACGCAGGAGUGGCUUCAGAACAAGUCUCUGAAUGUCCUUGAGUGGCCCAGGCGGAGCCUGGACUUGAACCCGAUCUAACAUCUCUGGAAAGACCUGAAAAUAGCUGUGCAGCAACGGUCCCCAUCCAACCUGACAGAGCUUGAGAGGAUUUGCGGAGAUGAAUGGGAGAAACUCCCCAAAUACAGGUGUGCUAAGCUUGUAGCGUCAUACCCAAGAAGACUCAAGGCUAUAAACGCUGCCAAAGGUGCUUCAGCAAAGUACUGAGUAAAGGGUCUGAAUAGUUAUGUAAAUGUAAUAUUUCAGUUUUUGAUUUUGUAUAAAUUAGCAAACAUUUCUAAAAAUCUGUUUUUGCUUUGUCAUUAUGGGGUAUUGUGUGCAGAUUGAGGGGGGGGGAUAUUAAAUACAUUUUAGAAUAAGGCUGUAACGUAACAAAAUGUGGGAAAAAAUCAAGGGUUCUGAAUACUUUCCGAAGGCCCUGUAGAGCAUUUCUUAAUAGCAUGCAGUUCGUUCGGCUUCGAUACCUCAUGGUUGAGUAUUGCUCUGUUACUAUAGUGCACAGAGCCCUGUUUUUGAAAGAGAAUAGGGACUUUGCUGAGUUUAAGGCUCUAGUUACUGACUGCAGUUUAACAUCUGACUUGAGAACAGUUCUCUGUACAUCAGCCCUAACCUAAGCAGGAUGAUCUUAACAGUAAAACUGUACCAGGACCAGUUGGCAAGGGCAAAAGUUACAAGCUACAAAACGGAGGUUACGUUACUUGUAGUAGGAAUAGGGAAGGUCACAAUUCUGUUUGUACACUUGUUUACAUGGAUAUGCUUCUCAAUAAACACUUAUUUGAAACAAGCCA